rnacentral:rRNA from 1 species
UACGUAGGGGGCGAGCGUUGUCCGGAAUUACUGGGCGUAAAGGGCGCCUAGGCGGUUUUUUAAGUCCGCUGUGAAAGACCGAGGCUCAAUCUCGGGAUGUCAGCGGAGACUGGAAGACUGGAGUGUCGGAGAGGAGUGCGGAAUUCCUGGUGUAGCGGUGGAAUGCGUAGAGAUGCGGAGGAACACCGAUGGCGAAGGCAGCCCCCUGGGCUAACACUGACGCUCAGGCACGAAAGCGUGGGGAGCAAACAGG